UGAAGAAAUCUUGGAGAAGUCUCCAUUCUGGGAACCUCCUCCUUCUCAUCCAUGGAAAGGGAAGAAGGAUGCCUGGAGUGGGAUAAAGAAAAUAUAGAAAAGGAAGGGAGUGUCUUCACAUCCCAGCAGGGCACAUGGAGGAGGAGGAGGAGGUGCUGACUAUGGACAGCAAGAAGCAACAUCACCAUCACAAAACACCCACCCAGGGCAGGGGCCCUUUCAACAAGGAGCAUAAGAGACUGUUUCUGCCUCUGAUGGAAGCCCAGCAUUUUGUUUUUCUCCACAUAUUUUAAUCAAUAUUUACCAAGCCAUAACAAUCUGGCUUUCACUGUCACCCUAGGGUUGAGUUUCAUGAGUAACUACCUUUUCCACUGGCUGCAGAAAUAAUGACUCCAUGUAUGAUUGGCAGAAGGUCAUUCAUUUGAGCAUAGGAAAACAAGCAGUUUCAAGAAAAGAGCUGGCAUCUCUGCAUGAGUGAAUCAGUGCACAUCUAAAAUGCAGUUACUGAAAUUAUAGAAGCCUCUCCUCGGCCAAUUGGCCUCCUUUGGAAGAUAUGGCCUCACACCAUUCCAUGUGCAUGUGAAAUGUCUAGACGUGAUUAUAGAGUUUUCUUGAGAGCUGAUGCAUCCAAGGAACAUUUAAAGUAAGAAGCAAAGUAAUGAAAAACGUUUCUCAGAAAAUAAAAAUUGUUAAUAUGGUCUUA